UUUGUUUCGCUCUAGUUGUGCAUUUUACAUUAUUUAUAAACCCCUAUAUGAUAAUUUAUUGAGCCUAAGUUAAUGAUCUGGAAUUUUCUUUUUUGUCAACUGCAUUUCCAUUAAAGGAAAUAGCCCCAUGGGCUUACAGAGGUAAGGGCUAAUAAACAAACAAGGCCAAACAAAAAUACAUAUUAUUUAAAAUUUAAAACCCAAAUAUGAAAACCAAAGAAACAAGUGUUCUUCGCCCAAACUAUUGACGAGACACGUAUGUAGGACACGCGUGUAUCAUGCAGAGCACAUCGGAGACGCUUCUCCUCCACCGUUUUCACACCGGAGAAACUCCUCCACCACCGCUCACGAUCGUCGGACUUCAACUCUUCUUCUUCUGUCUCACCCCUUCUAGUUUAUACCCCUUACCAGAACCUCUUCCGUUUUUAGCCGCCACUUGUAGAUGAAAUAUCCUCCAUCUCCAGUUGUUAAUCCAGGGAUUGCUCAACCAGAUCCAAAAGUAGAUCCUUUGUUGGACCGCUCAAUGAACGCCAAACUUUACUGAAUCACCUUUGAGAUGAUUGAGAUUAAUCCUUCGUUCAAGCCGGGUGAAGAGUAAUUUCCGCUGGAAAGAAAUCAAAGCAUAACUCUUGAAGUAGAAACUCCACCACAAGCAAAACGGGAUCUUGAGUUAAAA